UGAGUCAGCCUUGCAUGGCUCCCCGGGGGGGGCGGGGGCCUUCAGUUUAGAAAGCACUUAAUACACGGCCUCAAACGACGCGCUCCAGUAAGAGCGCCGUGAUGGAGUGGAAUAAUGGAGCUUUUUGGACAGCGCGGCAGUGAGAAUUUGCAGCCCCACACGAAUGCACACGUUAAAGGGGGCAUCAGUGAGCUCACCUUGAAGCCGACGUCCCCUUUCUUGCAACACAGGCAGGCCAGCAUGAGGAAGACAAAGGUGAAGAGUCCAGAGAACGAGACAGCCACCACUGCCAGUGACGAAGGCCAUGACAGCUCGCUCAGCGGAGCGCCAUCUGCCACAGAGGGGGAUAAUGUGUUAACAGGGUGCGGCUGUACAGAGAUCACACGGCAAACCGCAGACACACACGAAGUUCAAAUCUAAAACGUGAUAGAGCUCACUAACGGAGACCCGGUUGUACUGACCCAUUUGGCUGUCGGGGACAAGCUGUUCCAGACCUGACAGCUCCUGUGGCCCAAACAGUACUGCUCCAACCAAAGCUUGACCCUGAGGUCACGGCUACAAAGCCUUCGCUUGCACACACACACACACACACACACACACGCAUUGGUAGGACAUGUAAAGAGACGUGCAGGUUCUUACUUGAAGCCUGGUUUAUGAACUACACCACAUGUGGGCUUGGGCAACCACCAACCCAUCACCAUGGUAACAACCUGCACUAAACCUCGUCCCCUCUUUGUUUCCCCACCUUUAGAAGAUAUAUUCCAGUAAUAUGCUCUGACAGCUUAUGUGUCUGAAGGAGAAGACGGAGCUGAAGGAGACGCUAACCCAAGCAGUGCCCUUUCUGGAUCCCCCACGUACCACAACACAAAGCCUGUGUGUGGUGACGGGACAUUGUGUGGAGGCUGAUUGGGGGAAACAGAGAUUGACAAAACCAAAUAUCAUUAAAAUGCAUUCUUCUUCUCUGCUAUCUAUACAGCCAAAUUUCCAUCCUAAUUUUCAAAGAAUAUUCAGCACUUUACACACAACUAUUGACACAUUCGAUGUAUUUUCAAAAGCAUUUCAAGCAGUAUGCUGCAUAUAAGUAUGAUGAACCUUUGGAUGGAUGGAUGUGGGGAAAGAGGAUUGAGUAGAGAGAAAGCACACAGAUGGUGCCAGAAGCGGUGUGGACAUGUGGUGAUUAAGAAGGAGUGGUGACUCAAAGGCGGACUGACGACGUAAAUCACACGUACGCAUGUCAGGUCGGCUGUCGGGAUGUCACAGCACAAAACAGAGUCACUGUGAAAUGAGGACAGAAACAGAGCAAGAGUUCCAGUGACUCCAUCAAGAAAACUUUUUUUGAAACCCUCAACAACAGCCAUAAACUGUGGGUAUUAAAUACCAAGAGUAAUCUGAUGUCAGGCCACAGCCAUGUUGAAUUCAAGUACAUGUACCUUGUCAGCACCUUACGUGGAGGCCUGUUUACGUGCAUGAAUGGCUGAGAGAAGUCGUCAUGGCAGACAAAGGUUGGGGAGAUGGAACAGACGGCUCUGCUCAUCCUUUCCCCACCGUGAUCAGAAAUAACAACUUUAAAAUGGAGGAGCAGAUGGAAAACUGCAUAAAACCUAAUAAUCCUAAUA